rnacentral:rRNA from 1 species
UUCGCAAUGCCCGAAAGGGUGACGAAGCGACGCCGCGUGCGGGAAGAAGGCCUUCGGGUUGUAAACCGCUGUCGGGGGUUAAGAAAUGUAAGGAUGUCAAUAGCAUCUUUGCUUGACUAAGGCUCCGGAGGAAGCCACGGCUAACUCUGUGCCAGCAGCCGCGGUAAUACAGAGGCGGCAAGCGUUGUUCGGAAUUAUUGGGCGUAAAGAGCACGUAGGCGGCUAUGUAAGUCGGUUGUGAAAGCCUUCCGCUCAACGGGAGAACAGCAUCCGAUACUGCAUGGCUUGAGUGCGGGAGGGGAGAGUGGAACUUCUGGUGGAGCGGUGAAAUGCGUAGAUAUCAGAAGGAACGCCGGCGGCGAAAGCGGCUCUCUGGCCCAUAACUGACGCUGAGUGUGCGAAAGCUAGGGGAGCAAACGGGAUUAGAUACCCCGGUAGUCCUAGCCGUAAACGAUGGGCACUAAGUAGAGGGGUUUU